rnacentral:pre_miRNA from 1 species
UCAGUCAAGAAAGUAUUUUCUUUACAUACAGUUAAUCUGGAAAAUGGUGUCUUGAUUGAUU